rnacentral:rRNA from 1 species
CUGCAAGUCGAGGGGAAACGAUAUUGGAAGCUUGCUUCCGAUAGGCGUCGACCGGCGCACGGGUGAGUAACGCGUAUCCAACCUGCCCAUCACUUGGGAAUAACCUUGCGAAAGUAAGACUAAUGCCCAAUGACAUUUAUAGAAGGCAUCUGAAAUGAAUUAAAGAUUUAUCGGUGAUGGAUGGGGAUGCGUCUGAUUAGCUUGUUGGCGGGGUAACGGCCCACCAAGGCGACGAUCAGUAGGGGUUCUGAGAGGAAGGUCCCCCACAUUGGAACUGAGACACGGUCCAAACUCCUACGGGAGGCAGCAGUGAGGAAUAUUGGUCAAUGGGCGAGAGCCUGAACCAGCCAAGUAGCGUGCAGGAUGACGGCCCUAUGGGUUGUAAACUGCUUUUAUAGGGGAAUAAAGUGAGCCACGUGUGGUUUUUUGCAUGUACCCUAUGAAUAAGGACCGGCUAAUUCCGUGCCAGCAGCCGCGGUAAUACGGAAGGUCCGGGCGUUAUCCGGAUUUAUUGGGUUUAAAGGGAGCGUAGGCCGGAGAUUAAGCGUGUUGUGAAAUGUAGAUGCUCAACAUCUGAACUGCAGCGCGAACUGGUUUCCUUGAGUACGCAUAAAGUGGGCGGAAUUCGUGGUGUAGCGGUGAAAUGCUUAGAUAUCACGAAGAACUCCGAUUGCGAAGGCAGCUCACUGGGGCGCAACUGACGCUGAAGCUCGAAAGCGCGGGUAUCGAACAGGAUUAGAUACCCUGGUAGUCCGCGCGGUAAACGAUGGAUGCCCGCUGUUGGGCCAACUGGUUCAGCGGCCAAGCGAAAGCAUUAAGCAUCCCACCUGGGGAGUACGCCGGCAACGGUGCAACUCAAAUGAAUUGACGGA